rnacentral:rRNA from 2 species
GGCGCGUGCUAUACAUGCAAGUCGAACGAGUUCUGAUUAUUGAAAGGUGCUUGCAUCUUGAUUUAAUUUUGAACGAGUGGCGGACGGGUGAGUAACACGUGGGUAACCUGCCCUUAAGUGGGGGAUAACAUUUGGAAACAGAUGCUAAUACCGCAUAAAUCCAAGAACCGCAUGGUUCUUGGCUGAAAGAUGGCGUAAGCUAUCGCUUUUGGAUGGACCCGCGGCGUAUUAGCUAGUUGGUGAGGUAACGGCUCACCAAGGCAAUGAUACGUAGCCGAACUGAGAGGUUGAUCGGCCACAUUGGGACUGAGACACGGCCCAAACUCCUACGGGAGGCAGCAGUAGGGAAUCUUCCACAAUGGACGCAAGUCUGAUGGAGCAACGCCGCGUGAGUGAAGAAGGCUUUCGGGUCGUAAAACUCUGUUGUUGGAGAAGAAUGGUCGGCAGAGUAACUGUUGUCGGCGUGACGGUAUCCAACCAGAAAGCCACGGCUAACUACGUGCCAGCAGCCGCGGUAAUACGUAGGUGGCAAGCGUUAUCCGGAUUUAUUGGGCGUAAAGCGAGCGCAGGCGGUUUUUUAAGUCUGAUGUGAAAGCCCUCGGCUUAACCGAGGAAGUGCAUCGGAAACUGGGAAACUUGAGUGCAGAAGAGGACAGUGGAACUCCAUGUGUAGCGGUGAAAUGCGUAGAUAUAUGGAAGAACACCAGUGGCGAAGGCGGCUGUCUGGUCUGUAACUGACGCUGAGGCUCGAAAGCAUGGGUAGCGAACAGGAUUAGAUACCCUGGUAGUCCAUGCCGUAAACGAUGAAUGCUAGGUGUUGGAGGGUUUCCGCCCUUCAGUGCCGCAGCUAACGCAUUAAGCAUUCCGCCUGGGGAGUACGUCCGCAAGGUUGAAACUCAAAGGAAUUGACGGGGGCCCGCACAAGCGGUGGAGCAUGUGGUUUAAUUUGAAGCAACGGGAAGAACCUUACCAGGUCUUGACAUCUUUUGAUCACAUGAGAGAUCAGGUUUCCCCUUUGGGGGCAAAAUGACAGGUGGUGCAUGGUUGUCGUCAGCUCGUGUCGUGAGAUGUUGGGUUAAGUCCCGCAACGAGCGCAACCCUUAUGACUAGUUGCCAGCAUUUAGUUGGGCACUCUAGUAAGACUGCCGGUGACAAACCGGAGGAAGGUGGGGAUGACGUCAAAUCAUCAUGCCCCUUAUGACCUGGGCUACACACGUGCUACAAUGGAUGGUACAACGAGUUGCGAGACCGCGAGGUCAAGCUAAUCUCUUAAAGCCAUUCUCAGUUCGGACUGUAGGCUGCAACUCGCCUACACGAAGUCGGAAUCGCUAGUAAUCGCGGAUCAGCACGCCGCGGUGAAUACGUUCCCGGGCCUUGUACACACCGCCCGUCACACCAUGAGAGUUUGUAACACCCGAAGCCGGUGGCGUAACCCUUUAGGGAGCGAGCCGUCUAAG